GGCGAUCAGAUACCGCCCUAGUUCUGACCGUAAACGAUGCCAACUAGCGAUCCGCCGGCGGAUUUAUUCGCCCUGGUGGGGAGCUUCCCGGAAACGAAAGUCUUCCGGUUCCGGGGGAAGUAUGGUUGCAAAGCUGAAACUUAAAGGAAUUGACGGAAGGGCACCACCAGGAGUGGAGCCUGCGGCUUAAUUUGACUCAACACGGGGAAACUCACCCGGCCCGGACACCGUAAGGAUUGACAGAUUGAUAGCUUUUUCAUGAUUCGGUGGAUGGUGGUGCAUGGCCGUUCUUAGUUCGUGGAGCGAUUUGUCUGGUUUAUUCCGAUAACGAGCGAGACUCUGGCCUACUAAAUAGUUGGCUCAUUGCUUCUGUGGGCACAACUUCUUAGAGGGAUUUUCGGUGUUCAGCCGCACGAAAUUGAGCAAUAACAGGUCUGUGAUGCCCUUAGAUGUCCGGGGCUGCACGCGCGCUACACUGGCAAAAUCAGCGUGCUUGUCCUUCCCCGAAAGGGGUUGGUAAACCGGUGAAAAUUUGCCGUGAUUGGGAUCGGACAUUGCAAUUAUUGUCCGUGAACGAGGAAUUCCUUGUAGGGGCGAGUCAUCAACUCGCUCUGAUUACGUCCCUGCCCUUUGUA
rnacentral:rRNA from 1 species